ensembl:lncRNA
AUGGCACCAGCCUUGCGCUCGGUGUCUCCGGUUCGCCUGCAUAGCCCAGUGCGGGCUAUUCCACCUCGCCGCACUGGCAGGGCGACCGAGAGCAUUCAACCAGGUAAGGUUGGGCAGGCUCGGUGCUCAAGAGCUCCAGUGCGCCUGCACGGUCCGGUCUACCCAGUACCACCUCCACACCCCAGCCCUCCGGUAGCAGCUCCCCACACCAGGCUUCCUGCGCGUGUUCUCGGCCCAGUACCACCAGUGCCAGCACCACGCAUCAGGCCUACAGUGCGCCUCGCCUGUCCAGCGCUGUCAGAGCCUUCCUCCUCUCCAGCACUGCCGGAGUCUCCCGCCUAUCUAGCGCUGUCAGAGCCUUCCGCCUCUACAGCGCUGCCGGAGUCUCCCGCCUGUUCAGCGCAGUUAGAGCCUUCCUCCUCUCCGGCGCUGCCGGAGGCUCCCGCCUGUUUAGCGCUGUCAGAGCCUUCCGCCUCUACAGCGCUGCCGGAGUCUCCCGCCUGUUCAGAACUGCCAGUCUGCAAGGAGCUGCCAGUCUGCAAGGAGCUGCCAGUCUGCAAGGAGCUGCCAGUCUGCAAGGAGCUGCCAGUCUGCAUAGAGCUGCCAGUCUGCAAGGAGCUGCCAGUCUGCAAGGAGCCACCAGAGCUGCCAGUCUGCAGGAUGCCGCCAGAGCUGCCAGUCUGCAAGGAGCCGCCAGAGCUGCCAGUCUGCAAGGAGCCGCCAGAGCUGCCAGUCUGCAUGGAGCAGCCAGAGCCGCCAGUCAGCAUGGAGCAGCCAGAGCCGCCAGUCAGCAUGGAGCAGCCAGAGCCGCCAGUCAGCAUGGAGCAGCCAGAGCCGCCAGUCAGCAUGGAGCAGCCAGAGCCGCCAGUCAGCAUGGAGCAGCCAGAGCCGCCAGUCAGCAUGGAGCAGCCAGAGCCGCCAGUCAGCAUGGAGCAGCCAGAGCCGCCAGUCAGCAUGGAGCAGCCAGAGCCGCCAGUCAGCAUGGAGCAGCCAGGGCCGCCAGUCAGCAUGGAGCAGCCAGAGCAGCCAGUCAGCAUGGAGCAGCCAGUCAGCAUGGAGCAGCCAGAGCAGCCAGUCAGCAUGGAGCAGCCAGAGCUGCCAGUCAGCAUGGAGCAGCCAGUCAGCAUGGAGCAGCCAGAGCAGCCAGUCAGCAUGGAGCAGCCAGAACGGCCAGUCAGCCAGACUCUUCCAGAUCUGCCAGUCAGCCAGACUCUUCCAGAUCUGCCAUUCAGCCAGACUCUUCCAGAUCUGCCAGUCAGCCAGACUCUUCCAGAUCUGCCAGUCAGCCAGACUCUUCCAGAUCUGCCAGUCAGCCAGACUCUUCCAGAUCUGCCAGUCAGCGAGACUCUACCAGAUCUGCCAGUCAGCCAGACUCUUCCAGAUCUGUCAGUCAACCAGACUCUUCCAGAUCUGCCAGUCAGCCAGACUCUUCCAGAUCUGCCAGUCAACCAGACUCUUCCAGAUCUGCCAGUCAGCCAGACUCUUCCAGAUCUGCCAGUCAGCCAGACUCUUCCAGAUCCGCCAGUCAGCCAGGAUCUGCCAGAACCGCCAGCCAGCCAGGAUCUGCCGGAUCCAACUACCUGCCUGAGCUUCCUCUCAGUGCUGAGCUUCCUCUCAGUCCCGAGCUACCCCUCAGUCCCGAGCUACCCCUCAGUCCCGAGCUGCCCCUCAGUCCCGAGCUGCCCCUCAGUCCAGUGGGGUUCUGGGUGA